rnacentral:siRNA from 1 species
AGUGGCAGCCAUUGUAAAUAAGUC